UUGAGCCGUAUGAGGCGGAAGCUCCACGUACGGUUUUGAAGCCUAUAUAUUUUUGUCUCUUGCGGGAGGGGCAAUUGAUCUCCCUUUGUGAGUUUGCAUGCCAUGUGUGGUGAGCUUAU
rnacentral:ncRNA from 1 species